AACGUAGGAGACAAACGUUAUCCGGAGUUACUGGGCGUAAAGGGCGUGUAGGCGGUUAGUUAAGUCUGGCGUGAAAGCUCUCGGCUAAACCGGGAGAGGUCGUUGGAUACUGGCAAACUUGAGGACGGUAGAGGCGUGUGGAAUUCCGGGUGUAGUGGUGAAAUGCGUAGAGAUCCGGAGGAACACCAGUGGCGAAGGCGCUGUCCUGGGCCGCAACUGACGCUGAGACGCGAAAGCAUGGGGAGCGAACGGG
rnacentral:rRNA from 1 species